CUAUUUUUACUUAAGCUGCACAAACUGAGAUAUUCAAAGAAAAAUGAAGUUUUAAUCUAGACAAUUUGCAGCAGGAGAGACAAAAAUCUACACGGCUCUAAGACAUACUGUCUUCUACAGCACACUGCACUGAAAGAUUUCUAUUAAACAAAAUGAAAGCACCAGGAGGAGGGAAAAUCCAGCAGGAUGGGAGACAAUUAGCAACGGCUAACGGGGGUUAUGUACCAUAACCCGACCCAGGCGUGCACGCCGGAGCCUGCAGGUAUUUGCGGAGCGUGACCUCAAGUCCCGACGCCGUUCCCGGCGUCCGAGCGAGGAUGCCCGGGCUCACCGGCCGAGCCGCGCGGAGAACCUCGCUGGUGCCUUCAACAGCCAUCUCGGGGCUGGCGAGACCCUCGGAGGCGAGACCUCCUGCACCCGCCAGCCCGGUACAACCGUCUUACAGAAAAACGGAGCAAAUUGGCCAAGAAACGAACCGCUCCCGCCAGCUUUCGUGUUCCGAGGCCCUUCUCUCCCUGCCCGGCUCGAGCCAGGUGAAACCCUCGGAGGCGGUGGGAUCCCCCCCCAGGGAUGAAGGCCACCUCGCCCCCGGUUUGCCACCCAGGUUGCCUCGCAGCCCGGCGAGCAGCCCGGUCUCCGCGGGGCCAUUAGAGGGAGGCACCGCCACGCACAACGCCGGCCGCAUCCCCGCCUUUGUCUGAGGCGUUCGGAAAAUUGCAGAUGAUUGAGCCCCGAAGAUGCUGCGAGCCGAGCAUCCCUGCCGGGGCGCCCGCCGACGUGCGGCCGGAGGGGGAUUGGGGAUUAGUUUCAGAACUACCUCUUCCCUCUAACGACUUUAAGUCACGAUAAAAACUGCUUGAUGCCUCCAACGCUUCCAGAUCCCCUUACCUGAGUCGAAGCGCUGUUUCAACACUUGGCCACACUAUUUCCUAGCUGUUGAGAUCUCCAAAGAAAUAACUUCUUCCAGCCAAAGUCACAGGAACAAUAAAAUGCACUCCAAAAUGA